CGGACGGGUGAGUAACACGUGGAUAACCUACCUAUAAGACUGGGAUAACUUCGGGAAACCGGAGCUAAUACCGGAUAAUAUUUUGAACCGCAUGGUUCAAAAGUGAAAGACGGUCUUGCUGUCACUUAUAGAUGGAUCCGCGCUGCAUUAGCUAGUUGGUAAGGUAACGGCUUACCAAGGCAACGAUGCAUAGCCGACCUGAGAGGGUGAUCGGCAACACUGGAACUGAGACACGGUCCAG
rnacentral:rRNA from 1 species